CCCUUAGACGUUCUGGGCCGCACGCGCGCUACACUGACGAAGGCAACGAGCUUUCCUUUACCGAAAGGUACGGGUAAUCUUUUGAAACUUCGUCGUGCUGGGGAUAGAUCCUUGCAAUUUUUGAUCUUAAACGAGGAAUGCCUAGUAAGCGCAAGUCAUCAACUUGCGUUGAUUACGUCCCUGCCCUUUGUACACACCGCCCGUCGCUACUACCGAUUGAAUGGUUUAGUGAGGCCUUCGGAUCCGCGACUCGUUUGUGGAGAAGUUGGACAAACUCAGUCAUUUAGAGGGAGUAAAAGUCGUAACA
rnacentral:rRNA from 1 species